UACGGAGGGUGCAAACGUUGCUCGGAAUCAUUGGGCGUAAAGCGCACGUAGGCGGCCCAGCAAGUCGGGUGUGAAAGCCCUCGGCUUAACCGAGGAAGUGCAUUCGAAACUACUGAGCUUGAAUACUGGAGAGGAUCGCGGAAUUCCCGGUGUAGAGGUGAAAUUCGUAGAUAUUGGGAGGAACACCGGUGGCGAAGGCGACCGCCUGGACGAUGACUGACGCUGAGGCGCGAGAGCGUGGGGAGCAAACAGG
rnacentral:rRNA from 1 species